GUGAAGUCAAAUCAGAAAGAAGAAAAAAAAAAAAAAAAGUUGUGCGUUCCCACACGGACCUAAAAGCGGGACGGACAAGGAAAAAAAAAAGAGAAGACGGAAGUUAAAGCCGUCAAACAAAGAGGACAGGAGUUUGGGACUUUGUGAAUCACAGAUCCUAGUCAACCUGUGUACAACUGGAUGAUCUUUUAGAUGAGCAGAGAGGCAGCCGGUUUUUACCUGCAUCCUCUGGAUCAAUGGUGAAUAUGUCCAUACACUGAAAUAAAUGGAAGUAAAAGCAAGGAAAACUGUUUGGUCCUUCGAGUAAAAUCCCUGCCAUUAAGAAUCUGCAUGGGGUCAUCCAUCCCUUUUCAAGUGGGGAAGUUGCACAGUUUAAAAAAGAACUUGACAGU